rnacentral:rRNA from 1 species
GACGAACGCUGGCGGCGUGCUUAACACAUGCAAGUCGAACGAUGAAGCUGGAGCUUGCUCCGGUGGAUUAGUGGCGAACGGGUGAGUAACACGUGAGCAAUCUGCCCUUGACUCUGGGAUAACUGCGGGAAACUGUAGCUAAUACCGGAUACGAGGCUUGGGGGCAUCCCCGAGCCUGGAAAGAAUUUCGGUCAAGGAUGAGCUCGCGGCCUAUCAGCGAGUUGGUGAGGUAAUGGCUCACCAAGGCGCCGACGGGUAGCCGGCCUGAGAGGGUGACCGGCCACACUGGGACGGAGACACGGCCCAGACUCCUACGGGAGGCAGCAGUGGGGAAUAUUGCACAAUGGGCGCAAGCCUGAUGCAGCAACGCCGCGUGAGGGAUGAAGGCCUUCGGGUUGUAAACCUCUUUUAGCAGGGAAGAAGCGAAAGUGACGGUACCUGCAGAAAAAGCACCGGCUAACUACGUGCCAGCCGCCGCUGUAA